UACGAAGGGUGCAAGCGUUACUCGGAAUUACUGGGCGUAAAGCGUGCGUAGGUGGUUUGUUAAGUCUGUUGUGAAAGCCCCGGGCUCAACCUGGGAAUGGCAAUGGAUACUGGCAGGCUAGAGUGCGGUAGAGGGUAGUGGAAUUCCCGGUGUAGCGGUGAAAUGCGUAGAGAUCGGAAGGAACACCAGUGGCGAAGGCGGCUACCUGGACCAGCACUGACACUGAGGCACGAAAGCGUGGGGAGCAAACAGG
rnacentral:rRNA from 1 species